UAAAAGCAGACUGCCCAAGCCAGCAGUGGCAACCUGCUCAGGUCCCCUUCCACGCUGUGGAAACUUUGUUCUUUCGCUCUUCGCAAUAAAUCUUGCUGCUGCUCAUUCUUUGAGUCCGCACUGCCUUUAAGGGCUGUAACACCGUGAGGGUCUGCAGCUUCACUCCUGAAGGCAGCAAGACCAUGAACCCACCAGAAGGAACGAACAACUCCAGAUGCACUGUCUUUAAGAGCUGUAACACUCACCGCAAAGGUCUGCAGCUUCACUCCUGAAUCAGCGAGACCACGAACCCACCAGAAGGAAGAAACUCUGGACACAUCUGAACAUCUGAAGGAACAAACUCCGGACACACCAUCUUUAAGAACUAUAACACUCACCACAAGCGUCUGCAGCUUCAUUCUUGAAGUCAGCGAGACCAAUUUCAGACACAUUUUGGUGACCCAGAUGGGACUAUCACCUAUCGCCAAGUGAAUCGAGGCCAUCAAGCUACAGAUGGUCUUACAAAUGGAACCCCAAAUGAGUUCAACUAACAACUUCUACCGAGGAUCCCUGAACCAACCUGCUGGCACUUUCACUGGCCUAGAGAGUUCCCCUCUGGAGGACACUACAACUGCAGGACCCCUUCAUCAUCCCUAUCCAGCAGGAAGUAGCUAGAGCGGUCAUUGGCCAAAUUCCCAACAGCAGUUGGGGUGUCCUGUUUAGAGGGGGGAUUGAGAGGCCUCCUCGGCCUCGGUGUCCACUCUGGCUGCACUUGAGGAGCCCUUCAACCCACUGCUGCACUGUGGGAGCCCCUCUCUGGGCUGGCCGAGGCUGGAGCUGGCUCCCUCUGCUUGCGGGGAGGUGUGGAGGGAGAGGCGGGGGCGGGAACCGGGGCUGCACACGGUGCUCGCGGGCCAGCGUGAGUUCCGGGUGGGCGUGGGCUCAGCGGGCCCUGCACUCAGAGUGGCUGGCUGGCGCUGCCGGCCCCGGGCAGUGAGGGGCUUAGCACCCGGGCCAGCAGCUGUGGAGGGUGCACUGGGUCCCCCAGCACUGCUGGCCUGCCCGCGCUGCACUCAAAUUCUCACAGGGCCUCAGCCGCCUCCCUGCGGGGCAGUGCUCAGGACCUGCAGCCCACCAUGCCUGAGCUCCCUCAACACCAGUGGGCUCCCGUGCAGCCAGAGCCUCCCCGACGGGCACCACCCCCUGCCCCUGCUCCACGGUGCCCAGUCCCAUCGACCGCCCAAGGGCUGAGGAGUGCAGGCACGUGGUGUGGGACUGAUGAGCAGCUCCACCCAUGGCCCCAGCGUGGGAUCCACUAGGCGAAGCCAGCUGGGCUCCUGAGUUGGGUGGGGACUUAGAGAACUUUCAUGUCUAGCUGGAGGAUUGUAUAUGCACCAAUCAGUACUCUGUGUCUAGCUCAGGGAUUGUAAAUGCACCAAUCAGCACUCUGUCAAAAUGGACCGAUCAGCUCUCUGUAAAAUGGACCAAUCAUCAGGAUGUGGGUGGGGCCAGAUUAGGGAAUAGAAGCAGGCUGUCUGAGCCAACAGUGUCAACAUGCUUGGGUCCCCUUCCAUGCUGUGGAAACUUUGUUCUUUCGCUCUUCACAAUAAAUUUUGCUGCUGCUCACUCUUUGGGUCCGCACCACCUUUAAGAGCUAUAACAUUCACCGUGAAGGUCUGCAGCUUCACUCCUGAGGCCAGCAAGACCACGAACCCAUGGGAAAGAAUGAACAACUCCAGAUGCGCCGCCUUUAAGAGCUGUGACACUCACCGCGAAGGUCUGCAGCUUCACUCCUGAAGUCAGCGAGACCAUGAAUCCACGAGAAGGAAGAAACUCCAGACACAUCUGAACAUCUGAAGGAAUAAACUGCAGACACACCAUCUUUAAGAACUGUAACACUCACCACAAGGGUUUGUGGCUUCAUUCUUGAAGUCAGCGAGACCAAGAACCCACCAAUUCCAGACAAAAUUGUAAAUAUACUCUUUAUAUUCUUCCUCUCCUGGAGCAGCUCAAUAAUUUGGUGAAAGUUAUGGGGAAAGUUUGAUAAUUGCCAGAGCCCUCAGGGGAAGUCCCACCUAUUAGACUGAGUUUUGAAUUUUUUGGAGACAAGCAGGUAAUAUGCAGGAAUGUAUCUAUGGCACAUAACAAACCACUCCAAAACCUAGUGGCUUAAAACAACAACAGUCCUUUAUUUUUGCUUAGGAAUCUGUUAUUUGGGGAGGUCUUAAAAAG
rnacentral:lncRNA from 1 species